rnacentral:rRNA from 1 species
GACGAACGCUGGCGGCGUGCUUAACACAUGCAAGUCGAACGGAAAGGCCUCUUUCGGGGGGUACUCGAGUGGCGAACGGGUGAGUAACACGUGAGUAACCUGCCCUUGACUUUGGGAUAACUUCAGGAAACUGGGGCUAAUACCGGAUAGGAGCUCCUGCUGCAUGGUGGGGGUUGGAAAGUUUCGGCGGUUGGGGAUGGACUCGCGGCUUAUCAGCUUGUUGGUGGGGUAGUGGCUUACCAAGGCUUUGACGGGUAGCCGGCCUGAGAGGGUGACCGGCCACAUUGGGACUGAGAUACGGCCCAGACGCCUACGGGAGGCAGCAGGGGGGAAUAUUGCACAAGGGGUGGAAGCCGGAUGCAGCAACGCCGGGUGCGGGAGGACGGCCUUCGGGUUGGAAACCGCUUUCGCUCAUGACGAAGCUUUGUGUGACGGUAGUGGGUAAAGAAGCACCGGCUAACUACGUG